UCACGAGCAACGUGCGUAGCCACACAGCAAUUACAGUGACCGUAAAUGUUUUAUUUGGGCAAUUUUAUGUACACUCACACACAGACACAAAUUAUAAUAAGUCAAAUUAUUAAUAUACUAUAUUAAUUGUCGUUUCGGAUGCGAUUGCGACAGUCGAACAAAAUCAUUACAACACACACACACACACACACACACACACUCACGCACGCACGCACGCACGCACACACCGUUUACAACACACAUAUUGUGAACAAUAUUCCAUUUCCUUCGCCAAGCGAACAGUAGUAAAAAUGAUCGACAUGUGAGAGUGCACUAGCGGUUUCGUUUAUAAGUUCGUCGUAAUAAUAAUAGUGACAAAUGGCAGUAGUGGCGGUGUUUGGAGAAUCGGCGACAAAGGCAUUUAAUCUCUCGGAGGAAGAGGGUUUUUUCAGUUUUUUAACGAGUUAACUGCUGUAGUAGUGUCUGCUGUGCUUUUCAGAGAUAACGUCUUCCAAACGUCAUCGAAGCAAUUAUUAUUAAAACCACAAAACAACAAAACAUAUAACAACUGGCAUGUGAACGAAUCAUCAAUAAGUUCAAAAACCAUAUGUAUAAUUUGCGUUCGUUAAUAUCUGCUACUAUGCAGAGAGUAUGAUAUGGAGAGAAGACACUUUUAACUUUCUGACCAUCUAGUCGAAAUAUUCAAUCCUGAGCCCACUAACAUCUACAAGCUCAUCCAAUUCCUAUCAGACACACAACUAAUAAAUAAACUGUAAUUGUAAUCAAUGCAGAAUACUCUAAAUUCUUCUUUUUUAAUGUGUCCCAUUUCAAGAGUUUAUUUUCUUUUAUUUUUUUUA
rnacentral:misc_RNA from 1 species